GCAACUUCCACGUUUCCAGACUAAACCUCCAAGAUGUAAUUUAUCAUAAAAUUGUUGUAAGGGACCUUGAAAGUCAUUUUUUCCAGCUUCCAACCCAACAGCAGUGGAUUCUAUGACAUCUCCCUGCUUUUGGCACUUGCAAUCAUGGUGAACUAACAACUUUCCAAAGGCUAUCCCACUGAUUAACUGCUCUGAUUACUAGUUAAUUACCUUUUGCUAUCCUCUUUCUUUCUGCUUACAUUCAAUACAAUAACCUCUACACCUGCUCCAAACAAUAAAUCAGAGAUCCCUAAGAGAUUUUAUAGCACCUAUCCAGGCUUAUGUCAUUGAUGUACUUCCUUAAUGUAUAAUUAUUACAUACAAAAUACUGCAAUAGCCUUUCCUGGGUUUUUCCUGUCCAGUUAAAUUCUUAUUCAAGAGCAACCCAUUAAAGCCCAUUAAGAGCAGCUCACUUUGAAGAAACUUUACCCAAAAGCACCCUCUUGUGGAAAGAGUAGUAAAUGGAUAAUCAGAAGACAGCUCUGCCCUCAACUGUCCCUGGAAUCGAAUGACUUUGCUGGUUAGCAAAUCACUCAAAGGGUGACUGUAAGGAUGAAACAAGCUGUGAUAUCACUCAAAAAGUUAAUAAAUACCAGGUGUUACUAUUGUUAAGCAAGGGCUCGAAACACCAUAAUCUGGUUUGUAGAUUAGAGCUACUAAUACAACAAAUAUUUACUGAACAUCUAUAAAACUACGUGUAAGAAUAUAUGCUGUGGGAAGGGUACGAAAUAAAUGGCAUCAUUCCUACCCCCAGUGACCUUACAUUUCAUUGGGUGGGAGAAAGUGUAAGACAAGUCAACAAUUACCUGUACUCUAAAGUAAAAUAUAAGUGCCCUAUCAAAGACUCAAACAAAGUAUUACGCAGGUUCAAAGGGAAAACAUACACCAGGGUUUGGUUUUGAAUUUGAGGAGUGGGGUGCUAAA